AUGCACGCUGGCGGCGUGCCUAAUACAUGCAAGUCGAGCGAACGGACGAGAAGCUUGCUUCUCUGAUGUUAGCGGCGGACGGGUGAGUAACACGUGGAUAACCUACCUAUAAGACUGGGAUAACCUCGGGAAACCGGAGCUAAUACCGGAUAAUAUUUUGAACCGCAUGGUUCAAAAGUGAAAGACGGUCUUGCUGUCACUUAUAGAUGGAUCCGCGCUGCAUUAGCUAGUUGGUAAGGUAACGGCUUACCAAGGCAACGAUGCAUAGCCGACCUGAGAGGGUGAUCGGCCACACUGGAACUGAGACACGGUCCAGACUCCUACGGGAGGCAGCAGUAGGGAAUCUUCCGCAAUGGGCGAAAGCCUGACGGAGCAACGCCGCGUGAGUGAUGAAGGUCUUCGGAUCGUAAAACUCUGUUAUUAGGGAAGAACAUAUGUGUAAGUAACUGUGCACAUCUUGACGGUACCUAAUCAGAAAGCCACGGCUAACUACGUG
rnacentral:rRNA from 1 species